GAUGAACGCUGGCGGCGUGCCUAAUACAUGCAAGUCGAGCGAACAGACGAGGAGCUGGCUCCUCUGACGUUAGCAGCGGACGGGUGAGUAACACGUGGAUAACCUACCUAUAAGACUGGGAUAACUACGGGAAACCGGAGCUAAUACCGGAUAAUAUAUUGAACCGCAUGGUUCAAUAGUUAAAUACGGUUUUGCUGUCACUUAUAGAUGGAUCCGCGCCGCAUUACUUAGUUGGUAAGGUAACGGCUUACCAAGGCAACGAUGCUUAGCCGACCCGAGAGGGUGAUCCCAUACACUGGAACUGAGAAACAGCCCACACUCUGACGGGAGGCCACAGUCGGGAAUCUUACGCGAGGGGCGAGUGCCUGACGGAGCACAGCCGCGUGAGUGCUGAAGGUCCUCGGAUCGUAAAACUCUGUUAUCCGGGAAGAACUAAUGCGUAAGUACCUAUGCACGUCUUGACGGUACCUAAUCAGAAAGCCACGGCUAACUACGUG
rnacentral:rRNA from 1 species